rnacentral:rRNA from 1 species
AAUAGAUACCCGGGUAGUCCACGCUGUAAACGAUGAUCACGUAGACGUUGGUUUUGCUUAGCAGAAUCAGUGUCGCAGCUAACGCGUUAAGUGAUCCGCCUGGGGACUACGGUCGCAAGACUAAAACUCAAAAGAAUUGACGGGGGUCCGCACAAGCGGUGGAACAUGUGGUUUAAUUCGACACUACGCGAGGAACCUUACCUAGGCUUGACAUGCUUUUGACUGCUGUAGAAAUACAGUUUUCUAGGUUUUUAAUCUAGACAGAUGCACAGGUGCUGCAUGGCUGUCGUCAGCUCGUGCCGUGAGGUGUUAGGUUAAGUCCUCUAACGAGCGCAACCCUUGCUGUCAGUUGCUAUUCUUCGGAAGCACUCUGACGGGACUGCCUGGGGAAACCAGGAGGAAGGUGGGGAUGACGUCAAGUCAUCAUGGUCCUUAUGCCUAGGGCUACACACGUGUUACAAUGGCCAGUACAAAGGGCUGCAAGCUUGUAAAAGUGAGCGAAUCUCAUAAAGCUGGUCU